rnacentral:rRNA from 1 species
ACUGAACGCUGGCGGCAUGCCUUACACAUGCAAGUCGAACGGUAACAGGCCGCAAGGUGCUGACGAGUGGCGAACGGGUGAGUAAUGCAUCGGAACGUGCCCAGUCGUGGGGGAUAACUGCUCGAAAGAGCAGCUAAUACCGCAUACGACCUGAGGGUGAAAGCGGGGGACCGUAAGGCCUCGCGCGAUUGGAGCGGCCGAUGUCAGAUUAGCUAGUUGGUGGGGUAAAGGCCUACCAAGGCAACGAUCUGUAGUUGGUCUGAGAGGACGACCAGCCACACUGGGACUGAGACACGGCCCAGACUCCUACGGGAGGCAGCAGUGGGGAAUUUUGGACAAUGGGCGCAAGCCUGAUCCAGCAAUGCCGCGUGCGGGAAGAAGGCCUUCGGGUUGUAAACUGCUUUUGUCAGGGAAGAAAUCUUCUGGGCUAAUACCCCGGGAGGAUGACGGUACCUGAAGAAUAAGCACCGGCUAACUACGUGCCAGCAGCCGCAGUAACAC